rnacentral:piRNA from 1 species
UUAGACAAAAAGGGUAAUGAA